GUUUAUCCCCCAUGAUGACAGAGUCAAGAAGUGAUAUAAACACAAAUGUCCAGUCUGUUGUGACCUCUGACUGUUGCUUAUCUUUUUUGCCACAAAAAGAGAAACAUUAAUCAAAACUGGAAAAAGUUGUUCUUUACAUGAUGGAAGAUUUGAAGAUGCCUCAACAAUACUGGAAAAGAUUUGAUUGUUCUGAGACCGAUUCAGCAUUCCCUGCAGGAUGACACAGCUCCAGCAGUGAUGUCAUGCACUGGAGAUCCACUGAUACCUGAACAUCCAUGCAGCUCGUCACCUGUUCACACUAGAGAGGAGAACGGGAAGGAAUGGAUCAACAGUGGAAGAUCCACAGGGAGAUCCGAGAGCAUAAUCCAAAGGCAAUCCAGGUCUGGAAGCAGUAAUCCAAUGAAGAGGACAGGGUCAGAGACAGAGGCUGCGCUGGGGGAAAAACUGUAUCUGCUCUCAGUAUGGAUGACAAUGUCGUCUGCUAACAUCAUGGCCCAUAGAGGUUUCUGUCAGACCUCAUCUGUCAGUUCUUCCAUCAUCAUUGGUGCAGUCCCACCUCCACCUUGAACUCCUCAAUCACAACAUCUUACCACUGUCUCACAGCUCUCAAAGAUGUCCUGAACAAAUCCAUACUUUGUCUUCCAAACCACAGCACUUCUGUUUCUCUGGAUCUACAAAGACAACACACCUCCUACUGAGCUUCUCUGCUCUUUCUCAGAAGCCUUCAGGCCAACUCAGUGGCCUUGUGGUAAAGUGUCUAGAGGGUUAUGAGUUCAAACCCACUGGGAAGUCAUAUAAAAGCCUCCCUGUGUCUGCAGCUCACUGCUCCCUAUAGGGGAUGGUUCAAAUAUAGAGAAUGAAUUUAUCACACCUAUUGUAGGUGUGUGACAACUAAUGAGACUUGAAUUCUUAAAGCCGACUUUGUCUCUGUGGUUCUCUUCCUUGACAUGAAACCAGACUGUCUCUCACAAAUGUUCACUUCUGACCUCAGCCUAGCUUCUACUUCUCUUUCUCACGGCUUCAUUGUUCAAUGUAACAGGAAAUCCACUUUUCACAUUUUUGACAUGUCAGCCAACUCACUCCUUUUCCCUGUCAAAAUUUCAACAUUCAAAGUUUGGGCUCAGAAGUUCUCCCUUUACUUUUCUUUUUCCUCCUCUCCUUCUUCCACCAACAUCAGUCCGAUUUCCUCUGGUACUCUGUAGGUCAACAGCCCUAGAGGUGGUCAUCAUUGACUUGAAACACGACUGAUCCAUUAUUGAAACUCUUAGAGAUUCACAUUUCGUAAUAAAUGAAUGCACAAUAAAGUUAUCAAUAAAACAUAUUCAUUAAGCCAUUACCAACAAUGAUACUAAAAACUGACUUCAACUUUUCAUAAAAAAAAUAUUUAUGUCCUCCUAAUUUUAUUCUUUUAUGCUAAAACAUUUAACUUUACUGCUCUAUUCAGGAUCGAAAGAAAAAAAAUCACACAAUAACAUCUUCCUUGAAGAUACCACUCCCCCAAUCUGAAAAUGGAAGAAAGAAUUCUGUUCUUUAAGACAAGAUACUCCCAAACUCCAUGAUUUAUGAGUAUGUCAUCUGUUUUUUUUAAGUUCAGACUUGAUUUUUGCUUAUCCUAACCCUUUUUGUUAAUAAUUAGCAGAAAGGUUGUAAUCUCACAUUUGUAAGUAUUGUAUUGGUGGCCUUAAAUUUCCAGAUAGGUGUCAGCAUUGUGUGUGCUGGUUGCUUGUCUCUGUAUCUUGUCCUGCAAUAGACUGGCGACCUGCCUUUGCCCCAUGAUAACUGGGAUAAGCUCCAAAAACCCCCGUGACCCUACUUAGGAGAUAAAAAUAAUGGACACACGAAGGAUUUUCAUUUAUUUUUAAUGAAAAAGGAUUUUCAAACUUCCUUUAUUUGAAAAUGAUUAUGAGGCUAAUGCUUUAACAGACUCCUCGUGUUCAAAACCAUUUAAAUGGUCAAAAACUUCCCUUUUCUUAAAGAAAUAGUCACUCAUCAGCUUUUUUUUUAAUUGUUUACAUGUAUUAUACUGAAAGGUGUUAGAUGAAGCAACAAACUUUACCCGUUUCUCAUUGAUUGUCUCUAUGGUGUUCCAAGAUUCUACUGCUGUAAUAUACUUUCGGCCUCUAGGUGGCACUGCUCGCACUUUCUUUCCUUGCACUUAUGGGUGAAACAACCCCCUUGUGAGUUCCCCCUGGGCUUUUUUUUGUUAGAAAUUCCCAAAAGCCUUCAGAGUCACUUCUGAUGCUUUUAUCAGCCUUUAUCAGCUAGUAAAGAUGGAGCGAAGACAGCAGUGGCAAACGGAUAAAGUCAAAAGAUCAGCUCCACGUCUCUCAUUAGGAACUCAGGUUCUGUUUUCAUUUGGUCCAUGGACCAAGACCCCAUUUAGAUUUUAGCCCUUUGAGCGAAAAAGUUUGGGCACCCCUUACCUGUUUUUAUUAUUUAAUGCCCAAAUUGUUGUGAUUUUUAUUAUUUUUUUUAACUUUAACUGAAGAAGAUUUAAUCUUAUUAGGGAGAAUUUAAUUAAAUACAUCCAUUUUAAAGUUUUCCAUGUAUCUUUAAAGUCUCUCCUUUUCAAUUUUAUUGUAAAAUAACAAAAAACUUUUUACCAUUGUGGUCUUAUUUAAAUUAGUAUUAAAAUUAUAAUACACAGUCUGAGCCCACAGAGAGGAUCGCCUAUAGCUGUUUAUGCUGUCUGUCAAAAGUGUGCUAAAGUACAGCACCCACUUACAA